GAUGAACGCUGGCGGCGUGCCUAAUACAUGCAAGUCGAGCGAACAGACGAGGAGCUUGCUCCUCUGACGUUAGCGGCGGACGGGUGAGUAACACGUGGAUAACCUACCUAUAAGACUGGGAUAACUUCGGGAAACCGGAGCUAAGACCGGAUAAUAUAUUGAACCGCAUGGUUCAAUAGUGAAAGACGGGUUUGCUGUCACUUAUAGAUGGAUCCGCGCCGCAGUAGCUAGUUGGUAAGGUAACGGCUUACCAAGGCAACGAUGCGUAGCCGACCUGAGAGGGUGAUCGGCCACACUGGAACUGAGCCACGGUCCAGACUCCUACGGGAGGCAGCAGUAGGGAAUCUUCCGCAAUGGGCGAAAGCCUGACGGAGCAACGCCGCGUGAGUGAUGAAGGUCUUCGGAUCGUAAAACUCUGUUAUUAGGGAAGAACAAAUGUGUAAGUAACUAUGCACGUCUUGACGGUACCUAAUCAGAAAGCCACGGCUAACUACGUG
rnacentral:rRNA from 1 species